rnacentral:ribozyme from 1 species
GUAGGUCUACUCUACCUCUAAUGCGGCCACCGCAAAGGUGAGAGUCACAAGCCUCUACAAACGCAGAGUGGAGA